rnacentral:rRNA from 1 species
ACCCUUGUCUUUUGCGUACUUCUUGUUUCCUUGGUGGGUUCGCCCACCACUAGGACAAACAUAAACCUUUUGUAAUUGCAAUCAGCGUCAGUAACAAAUUAAUAAUUACAACUUUCAACAACGGAUCUCUUGGUUCUGGCAUCGAUGAAGAACGCAGCGAAAUGCGAUAAGUAGUGUGAAUUGCAGAAUUCAGUGAAUCAUCGAAUCUUUGAACGCACAUUGCGCCCUUUGGUAUUCCAAAGGGCAUGCCUGUUCGAGCGUCAUUUGUACCCUCAAGCUUUGCUUGGUGUUGGGCGUCUUGUCUCUAGCUUUGCUGGAGACUCGCCUUAAAGUAAUUGGCAGCCGGCCUACUGGUUUCGGAGCGCAGCACAAGUCGCACUCUCUAUCAGCAAAGGUCUAGCAUCCAUUAAGCCUUUUUUCAACUUUUGACCUCGGAUCAGGUAGGGAUACCCGCUGAACUUAAGCAUA